rnacentral:rRNA from 1 species
UACGAAGGGGGCUAGCGUUGCUCGGAAUUACUGGGCGUAAAGCGCACGUAGGCGGCUCUUUAAGUCGGAGGUGAAAUCCUGGAGCUCAACUCCAGAACUGCCUUCGAUACUGAAGAGCUCGAGUCCGGGAGAGGUGAGUGGAACUGCGAGUGUAGAGGUGAAAUUCGUAGAAUAUUCGCAAGAACACCAGUGGCGAAGGCGGCUCACUGGCCCGGUACUGACGCUGAGGUGCGAAAGCGUGGG